rnacentral:rRNA from 1 species
CCUACGGGUGGCAGCAGUGGGGAAUAUUGGACAAUGGGGGCAACCCUGAUCCAGCCAUGCCGCGUGUGUGAAGAAGGCCCUCGGGUUGUAAAGCACUUUCAGUGAGGAAGAACGCCUGGUGGUUAAUACCCAUCAGGAAAGACAUCACUCACAGAAGAAGCACCGGCUAACUCCGUGCCAGCAGCCGCGGUAAUACGGAGGGUGCGAGCGUUAAUCGGAAUUACUGGGCGUAAAGCGCGCGUAGGUGGCUUGAUAAGCCGGUUGUGAAAGCCCCGGGCUCAACCUGGGAACGGCAUCCGGAACUGUCAAGCUAGAGUGCAGGAGAGGAAGGUAGAAUUCCCGGUGUAGCGGUGAAAUGCGUAGAGAUCGGGAGGAAUACCAGUGGCGAAGGCGGCCUUCUGGACUGACACUGACACUGAGGUGCGAAAGCGUGGGAAGCAAACAGGAUUAGAUACCCUAGUAGUC